rnacentral:rRNA from 1 species
CAAGGUAGCCGUAGAGUUUGAUUAUGGCUCAUGAAGUCGUAACGGGGUACCCGUAUGGUUUGAUGGUGUAACUCCGGGACACCGGGGCUAAUACCGGAAGGUUGUUUGAACCGCAUGGUUCAAACAUAAAAGGUGGCUUCGGCUACCACUUACAGAUGGACCCGCGGCGCAUUAGCUAGUUGGUGAGGUAACGGCUCACCAAGGCAACGAUGCGUAGCCGACCUGAGAGGGUGAUCGGCCACACUGGGACUGAGACACGGCCCAGACUCCUACGGGAGGCAGCAGUAGGGAAUCUUCCGCAAUGGACGAAAGUCUGACGGAGCAACGCCGCGUGAGUGAUGAAGGUUUUCGGAUCGUAAAGCUCUGUUGUUAGGGAAGAACAAGUACCGUUCGAAUAGGGCGGUACCUUGACGGUACCUAACCAGAAAGCCACGGCUAACUACGUGCCAGCAGCCGCGGUAAUACGUAGGUGGCAAGCGUUGUCCGGAAUUAUUGGGCGUAAAGGGCUCGCAGGCGGUUUCUUAAGUCUGAUGUGAAAGCCCCCGGCUCAACCGGGGAGGGUCAUUGGAAACUGGGGAACUUGAGUGCAGAAGAGGAGAGUGGAAUUCCACGUGUAGCGGUGAAAUGCGUAGAGAUGUGGAGGAACACCAGUGGCGAAGGCGACUCUCUGGUCUGUAACUGACGCUGAGGAGCGAAAGCGUGGGGAGCGAACAGGAUUAGAUACCCUGGUAGUCCACGCCGUAAACGAUGAGUGCUAAGUGUUAGGGGGUUUCCGCCCCUUAGUGCUGCAGCUAACGCAUUAAGCACUCCGCCUGGGGAGUACGGUCGCAAGACUGAAACUCAAAGGAAUUGACGGGGGCCCGCACAAGCGGUGGAGCAUGUGGUUUAAUUCGAAGCAACGCGAAGAACCUUACCAGGUCUUGACAUCCUCUGACAAUCCUAGAGAUAGGACGUCCCCUUCGGGGGCAGAGUGACAGGUGGUGCAUGGUUGUCGUCAGCUCGUGUCGUGAGAUGUUGGGUUAAGUCCCGCAACGAGCGCAACCCUUGAUCUUAGUUGCCAGCAUUCAGUUGGGCACUCUAAGGUGACUGCCGGUGACAAACCGGAGGAAGGUGGGGAUGACGUCAAAUCAUCAUGCCCCUUAUGACCUGGGCUACACACGUGCUACAAUGGACAGAACAAAGGGCAGCGAAACCGCGAGGUUAAGCCAAUCCCACAAAUCUGUUCUCAGUUCGGAUCGCGGUCUGCAACUCGAAUGCGUGAAGCAGGAAUCGGUAGUAAUCGCGGAUCAGCCUGCCGCGGGGAAUACGUUCCCGGUCCUUGUACACCCCGCCUCUCUC